GAUGAACGCUGGCGGCGUGCCUAAUACAUGCAAGUCGAGCGAACAGACGAGGAGCUUGCUCCUCUGACGUUAGCGGCGGACGGGUGAGUAACACGUGGAUAACCUACCUAUAAGACUGGGAUAACUUCGGGAAACCGGAGCUAAUACCGGAGAAUAUAUUGAACCGCAUGGUUCAAUGGUGAAAGACGGUUUUGUUGUAACUUAUAGAUGGAUCCGCGCCGCAUUAGCUAGUUGGUAAGGUAACGGCUUACCAAGGCAACGAUGCGUAGCCGACCUGAGAGGGUGAUCGGCCACACUGGAACUGAGACACGGUCCAGACUCCUACGGGAGGCAGCAGUAGGGAAUCUUCCGCAAUGGGCGAAAGCCUGACGGAGCAACGCCGCGUGAGUGAUGAAGGUCUUCGGAUCGUAAAACUCUGUUAUUAGGGAAGAACAAAUGUGUAAGUAACUAUGCACGUCUUGACGGUACCUAAUCAGAAAGCCACGGCUAACUACGUG
rnacentral:rRNA from 1 species